rnacentral:lncRNA from 1 species
UGUGGCUGAUCAAUGAAGAGUUGUGAUCUCCAAAAAAUCCCAGGGGGAACUUCUUGUAUUGCUCUUCGGCCUAUAUCGAGUUCUCCAGAAUCUAUAGUGUUGUUUUCUUGUGCAAAUCCCCCUAAUUUUCCAUUUUCUCCAGCAGGUACUGUUACAGGAUGUGUUGGCACAGUAUCAGAAUUCACUUUCCCAUUCUCAAAAGUAUCAUUUUCAGUUUGCUGCAGCUGCCAGUUGAGGCCAAACAGAUGCAUUGCUAUGAAGUAGGACAGCAGUAUUGCCAGCAGCACUGAGACCCC